UUAGCCCUUUAAUUGGAGAUUUAGCCCAUCGAGAUUCUAUGCUGGGAGAAUUACCUAUUAAACCUCUUACCUUGAGUAGUUUUGCCUCCUGCCAGUAUAUGUCUUCAACACCAACAGCCUGUGAAAAUUGAAUUUCAAGUUCACUUGAAUUUGGCAAAUAUUUCUUAAGUUUACCUUGCAUUUGAAUCCAUGAGAACCCCUCAAGAAUAUGUUCUACACAGAGUCUGUGGCCCCCGACAACACCACAUACCAGAUUUGCUGUUAUUCUCCACAUCAAAUGAAGCAAAGGAUCGGUGCAGAGAGCUGAACACAGGGUGUAAGAUCUGGCUUGCUUCAGCCAGCUUCUUUGCCGGUCUCAUCACCAGUGAUUUCCAGUUAAAACUACAUCACACUUAGAUGAUUGGAAAACAGUAUAGACAUGUGAGGAAGAGAUUCAACUUCUGAGGUACAAACAUUCCUUAAUGAUUACCAGAAAAAUCUCCAGAGUGAACACAUUCAAAAGCAUCUAAUAAAAUAUUUCAAGCCAAUGGGAAUUUAAUGUGU
rnacentral:lncRNA from 1 species